UUACGGUCAAAUCACGAUGAACACACCGGUUCUCGUUCGAUCACCGAUGUUAAGCAUCGUAGAACCAGAUCAGUACUUAUAUGGGGGACCGCUUGGGAACACCUGGUACUGUAAG
rnacentral:rRNA from 1 species